UCCCUCGUGGCGCAAUUGGCUAGCGCGUUCGACUGUUAAUCGUAGUAUCUCACGAGUCACGUGAUCGAGAGGCUGGUGGUUCGAGCCCACCCGAGGGAG
rnacentral:tRNA from 1 species